rnacentral:tRNA from 1 species
GCCCGCUUAGCUCAGUUGGUAGAGCAGUGGUUUUGUAAACCUCAGGUCGCUGGUUCGAGUCCGGCAGCGGGCACCA